UCGGGUGACAGGGAGACAGGUGGUGCAUGGUUGUCGUCAGCUCGUGUCGUGAGAUGUUGGGUUAAGUCCCGCAACGAGCGCAACCCCUACGUUAGUUGCUAACGCGUGAAGGCGAGCACUCUAGACGAACUGCCGUUGACAAAACGGAGGAAGGUGGGGAUGACGUCAAAUCAUCAUGCCCCUUAUGUUCUGGGCUACACACGUGCUACAAUGGCCGGUACAGACGGACGCAAAGCCGCGAGGCGGAGCAAAUCCGAAAAAGCCGGUCUCAGUUCGGAUUGCAGGCUGCAAUUCGCCUGCAUGAAGUCGGAAUCGCUAGUAAUCGCAGGUCAGCAUACUGCGGUGAAUACGUUCCCGGGCCUU
rnacentral:rRNA from 1 species